rnacentral:tRNA from 1 species
GCCGCCGUAGUGCAGUGGUCAGCACGUUACAUUGUGGUCAAAUUGGAUUCUGCAAACUGUAAAAACCCAUGUUCGAAUCAUGGCGGCGGCA